rnacentral:misc_RNA from 1 species
CUCUUAUUGAAUUCAAGCAAUCAGUUGAAAAGUAAAAAAAAAAUAAUAAUAAAGCAAAAGGCUAAGAGUAAAAGAAAAAAAGAGUAUGAUUAGAGAAAAAAAUUUCCCAUAUAUAAUUAAUCAACAGAAAUAUCAUACAUAUCAAACUGCCUGUAAGCAAAUAUACUCCAUUCACCUUUUCCAUAUAGGUUUCAGCACAUGGUCCCUAAACUUCCAUCUGACCUCUCAUGUGAUCAAAAAGAUCCCUUUUCCUUUCUUUUUUCAAUGUAUUUAAUUUGAGAGGACACAGUCUAGCGUUUGCUUUAGCAAUAUGAAACUCUUUGAAAGAACGAUUGCAACUAUGAUAAGAACAUAUAUGCAACCAACUCAAAAAAGCACUUGAGCUGUAUACUUCUGGUGGAUACAUUUUUUUAAUAUAUAUUAUAAUCCCAAAAAUGUGAUGUAAGAUGGGUUUCCAUACAGUAUAAUGUGGCCAUUUCCAAAGACAAGCACUAGCACUCUUCAUGAAGAAUAUCAUAAAAAACAGGAACAAACAGCUAAAUAAAUUACUCCCUUCAAAACUUGUGGCAUGAGAAACUAGAUCCUAUCUUCCUAUGAUGGGCAUAGUCCAUUGCAUAAGCACAAUUUUCAAUGUCUACCUUGUAGCUAUGCCGUGCCAUGUCUGAACAUAAGGGCACUGAAAAAAAAUUUUGUGUUAUUUAACCUGGACAUUGAAGUUCAAUUGAACUUCAUCAUGUAUUCAAAAUACACAUCUACAAAGAAAAAUAACAAAUCCAGAUAUAAUAUAGGAAGUUCCAAGUCAAUCUUAUCAGAUUUUAAUCCCAAAUAUAAAAUUGGAUAAAAAACCAUCUUCUGUCCCAUACAAGAAGGCGCAUUGAAGACCAUGCAAAUUAAGCAAGAACUUGACAAAGCAAAAAUCAAAAGCAUGUGAAAUGUAAUAUUAUGAGCAGGGCUUGAAAUAAUCAAGCAGUUUGAUAGUAGCAAUAUAACUAUCAGCAAUCACAAUUCCAUCAUUUAUAAGCAAGAAAGAGAAACACAUGGUCCAUGUAAUUAUCACAAAGGGUAAAAUAAGCCAUUAAAUCUAGAAUUCAGUAGAUAUACUCAUUUUUUUUCCUUCUAACAGAGCAUCAACACAAGCUACAUAUACAUCCAACAUAAAGUCAAUCACAGGUGCAACACCAAGUUCAGGAUAUCAACCAACCCAAUCAUCAUUAAAAUUCAAAACCACCAAGCCAGUAACCCAAUUUUCACUCAUUUAAUUACUCAGAAACCACAUGAAGUUGCCCUGAUUUCAUCUUGUGAUUUAACUGUCCAAUAAAAAAAAAAGACCAAAAGUCUAAGCAAACAUAGAUCGAUAAGCCAAUAAAAGAACAAAAAGAAAGAACUAGACCCUAUCAUUAUGAUCCAUUUUUUUGUUAAGGGAAUUGCAAUAAAAUCAUCUAUAUGGGUUGGAAAUUGAAAUUUUUUAUAACAGAACAAUAUGAUAUUAACUUCUUAACAUAAAUGGAGGGACAAGAUAGUAAAAUACGAGAAUGAUUGAUACAACUUGGGAAAGUGUAUAUACAAAUAUUGAUGAUAUUUAUACUUGGUAUAUAAGAUUCUUUUUCUUUUUUUUGUGAAAUAUUUAUAGAAUGCACAAUUGCACACCAUUCAACAGAAUGUAUAAAAGAUAUAACAGAAAAUAAAUGCUUCCAAAAAGAAACUGAUGACAUUACAAACACAAACCAAACUAAUGAUCUUAUUUGGAACAAUUUUGGAAAUUGAACCACAUAAAAUCACUUGCGAAUGUAAUAUAUUAGGCCAACAAUGACUUGCCUCAAUGACAAGAGCAACACUUAGCACAGUAUUUGAAGGAUUCAAAUUUAUAUAACAUGAAAAUGAGAAAAACAGAUCUGAUAUACUUUACAGCAGAAAUAUUCACACAUCACAUUCAAUAAAACUCCAGAUUCAUGAAGAUCUCUUUAAGAAAGUAGACAAUAAGAUUGGAUUGAUUCACCACUUAUCAAAAUCUUCAUUAAUAGUUUGUGAAGAAAUAGGAUCGGAGGUUUUCGUCUCAAAACAUGGCGAAAAGAAAGGCAUGCAAUUCUCACAAAGGCUUCAGAUUGUAAUAAAAGACUAAAUUCAAGCUAUAUAUCUUGCAAAUUCCAUUGCAAUCAAUUUUUUUUCUCAUAAAAGCAUGCAUACCUGCCUCUAACACGCUCUUUGAGUGGAUUUUCUGCUUAAUGCCAUUAUCACUUUGGAGGAAGAGGAAAGCAAGAGUCUAAAUAGAUAUGAAAGCAUUGGUUCUUGGGAAUCAUAGUUACAUUUGGCAAUGGGCAUACAAUUAUGAUAUUGCCCAUCUAACAUCCAUAAUUAACAAAUGUACCAUAAAAUAUCUGCGAGAUUUGGCUUGGGCUAAGCCGCAUUCUGUGCACAAUUAGCAUAGAUGUUAUCGUAGACUACACAUUUUUCCAAGAUUAGCCCAUCAGGAGCCACGUUGCCUAUAUUUGUCAAAUUGACAAUGCUGAUGUAACCAUUCGAGAAUGCUAUAGUAAUAUUAAAAAUGCAUACAAAUAUUUGAAUAACAAGUAUGGAAGAGUAUGUGUAUGUGCAUGUGCAUGAGCAUGAGCAUGCGU